rnacentral:rRNA from 1 species
CUCUUCUUGUUUUGGUUGAUUUGAGGUAUGGCCUGCCCGCUGAAGUUGUUGAAGGGCCGCGGUAUUUUGACCGUGCAAAGGUAGCAUAAUCAUUAGCUUUUUAAUUGUGAGCUGGUAUGAAUGGUUUGACGAGGUAUUGACUGUCUUUAAUUUAAGGAUUAUUGAAUUUGUUUUUUAGGUAAGAAUACCUAAAUUUUUUUAUGGGACGAGAAGACCCUAUAGAGUUUUAUAUAAUGUGCUUUUUGGUUUGUUUUACUUGUAUUGGGUGUUAUUAUAUUUUGUUGGGGCGAUGAGAAGAUAAGUCUAACUCUUCUUUUUUGUUUUCACUUAUUUGUGCUUUUUUGAUCCUUUUUUAUUGAUUAUAAGAUUAAAUUACCUUAG